rnacentral:rRNA from 1 species
GAUGAACGCUAGCUACAGGCUUAACACAUGCAAGUCGAGGGGCAUCAGGAAGAAAGCUUGCUUUCUUUGCUGGCGACCGGCGCACGGGUGAGUAACACGUAUCCAACCUGCCCUUUACUCGGGGAUAGCCUUUCGAAAGAAAGAUUAAUACCCGAUGGCAUAAUGAUUCCGCAUGGUUUCAUUAUUAAAGGAUUCCGGUAAAGGAUGGGGAUGCGUUCCAUUAGGUUGUUGGUGAGGUAACGGCUCACCAAGCCUUCGAUGGAUAGGGGUUCUGAGAGGAAGGUCCCCCACAUUGGAACUGAGACACGGUCCAAACUCCUACGGGAGGCAGCAGUGAGGAAUAUUGGUCAAUGGGCGUUAGCCUGAACCAGCCAAGUAGCGUGAAGGAUGAGGGCUCUAUGGGUCGUAAACUUCUUUUAUAUAAGAAUAAAGUGCAGUAUGUAUACUGUUUUGUAUGUAUUAUAUGAAUAAGGAUCGGCUAACUCCGUGCCAGCAGCCGCGGUAAUACGGAGGAUCCGAGCGUUAUCCGGAUUUAUUGGGUUUAAAGGGAGCGUAGGUGGACUGGUAAGUCAGUUGUGAAAGUUUGCGGCUCAACCGUAAAAUUGCAGUUGAUACUGUCAGUCUUGAGUACAGUAGAGGUGGGCGGAAUUCGUGGUGUAGCGGUGAAAUGCUUAGAUAUCACGAAGAACUCCGAUUGCGAAGGCAGCUCACUGGACUGCAACUGACACUGAUGCUCGAAAGUGUGGGUAUCANACAGG